AUCCCUGAACCUGCUAGUAGUUAUAUGCUUGUCUCAAAGUCAUGCACGUCUCAGUACAGGCUGAAUUAAAGUGAAACCGCAAAUGACUCAUUAAAUCAGUUACGGUUUCUUAGAUCGUAUCCACAUUUACUUGGAUAACUGUGGUAAUUCUAGAGCUAAUACAUGCAAAAAGAUUUCGUUUCAGAGAUGGGGGGAAUGCUUUUAUUAGAUUAGAUUCAAAACCAAUCGGUGGCGGAUGGCUUGUUGUCCGUUCAUCGUUUGUUUUGGUGACUCUGAGUAACUUUAUGCUGAUCGCAUGAUCAUCUAGCACUGGCGACGUCUCUUUCAAAUGUCUGUCUUAUUAACUGUCGAUGGUAGGUUCUGCGCCUAUUAUGGUUGUAACAGGUAACGGGAAAUCAUUUCCGGAGAGGGAGCCUGAGAAACAGCUACCACAUUCAAGGAAGGCAGCAGGCGCUCCCGGCACGGAACCUCUCCUUCCUAGUAAUGAAAGAUAACGAUACGGAACACAUCGGAAUGAAUAUACUUUAAAUCCUUUAACGAGGAUUAAUUGGAAGGAAAGUUUGGUGUCAACAGCCGCGGCAAUUCCAGCUCAAAUAGCGUAUAUUAAAGUUGUUGCGGUAAAAAGCUCAGCGUUGAAUCUGUGUGUCACAGUGUUGGUUCACCGCUCGCGGUGUUUAACUGGCAUUAUUUGAUACGUCCUAUCUAGAGGCUUAGUUUCAUGUGGGUAAUCCAACUAAUUUUCUAUCGCGGUGCUUUUCAUUGAGUGUCUUGGUGGACCGUACGUUUACUUUGCACAAAUUAGAGUACUUAAAGCAGGCCACGUUCGAUUGAAUACUGCAUGGAAUAAUGGAAUAGGACCUCGGUUCUAUUUUAUUGGUUUUUCGGAACUCCGAGAUAAUGAUUAAUAGGGUCAGAUGGGGGUAUUCGUAUUGCGACAUUAGAAGUGAAAUUCUUGGAUCUUCGCAAGACGGACACAAGCGAAAGCAUUUGCCAAAAAUUUGUUUUUAUUAAUUAAGAAAGAAAAUUAGACAUUCGAAGGCGAUCAGAUACCGUCCUAGUUCUAACUAUAAACGAUGACAACUAGCGAUUCGGAGAAAUUUUUCAAAUCACACGGCGAGCAGGUUCAGGGAAACCAAAGCUUUUGAGUUUAGGGAGAAGUAUGGUUGCAAAGCUGAAACUUAAGGAAUUAACAAAAGGACUACAUCAGCAGUGGACCCUGCGGCUUAAUUUGACUCAAUACGGGAAACCUCACCAGGCCCGGACACUAAGGAUUGACAGAUUGAUAGCUCCUUAUUAAUUCGUUGAGUGGUGGUGCAUGGCCAUUUUUUGUUGGUGGAGCGAUUUGUCUGGUUAAUUUCAAUAACGAAAGAGACUCUAGCCUGCUAAAUAAACAUAACAUAUGGUAUCUCAACGAUUCCCGGUUUCGGUCGGUGGGAUUUUACUACCAACAUACAAACAAAUUUUCUUAGAGGAACAGGCGUUUUCCAGUCGUACGAGAUUAAAUAGUAACAGAUCCGUGAUGCCCUUAGAUGUUGUGGGUCGCACGUGUCCCACGCUGAAGAAAUCAGUGUGUUUUCCCUGAGUAAAGACUCAGUAACCCACUAAAGCUCCGUCGUGCUAGGGGUUGAGACUUGCGAUUAUUCUCCAUGAACUGAGGAAUUCCCAGUAAGCGCGUGUUAUAAGCUCGUGUUGAUUACGUCCCUGUCUUGUGUAUAUACCGCCCAUCGCUAUUACCGAUUAAAUAAUUUAAUGAAGUCUUCGAACUGAUACGCGGCUAAUGCCUUGGAAUUGCCUUUGUUACAGGGAAAAUGACCAAACUUGGUCAUUUAGAAAAAAUAAAAUUCGUAACAAGAUUUCCGUGAAUAGGCGGAAGAAUUAUUA
rfam:Melipona quadrifasciata isolate 0111107301 unplaced genomic scaffold scaffold217, whole genome shotgun sequence.